CAGCAGCCGCGGUAAUACCGGCGGCCCGAGUGGCGGUCACUAUUAUUGGGCUUAAAGCGUCCGUAGCCGGGUUGGGAAGUCCUCCGGGAAAUCUGGCCGCUUAACGGUCAGAAUGCCGGAGGAUACUCCCAGCCUAGGGAGCGGGAGAGGCCGAGGGGAUUCCCGGAGUAGGGGGGAAAUCCUAUAAUCCCGGGAGGACCACCUGUGGCGAAGGCGCUCGGCUGGGACGCGUCCGACGGUGAGGGACGAAGGCCAGGGGAGCAAACCGGAUUAGAUACCCGGGUAGUCCUGGCUGUAAACGAUGCGGACUUUGUGUCGGACAAGCUAUGAGCUUGUCCGGUGCCGGAGGGAAACCGUUAAGUCCGCCGCCUGGGGAGUACGGCCGCAAGGCUGAAACUUAAAGGAAUUGGCGGG
rnacentral:rRNA from 1 species